AGGGAAUCUUGCGCAAUGGGCGAAAGCCUGACGCAGCAACGCCGCGUGGGGGAUGAAGGCCUUCGGGUUGUAAACCCCUUUCAGGAGGGAAGAAAUUGACGGUACCUCCAGAAGAAGCCCCGGCCAACUACGUGCCAGCAGCCGCGGUAAUACGUAGGGGGCGAGCGUUGUCCGGAAUUAUUGGGCGUAAAGAGCUCGUAGGCGGCUCAGCAAGUCGGCUGUGAAAUCCCGAGGCUCAACCUCGGAACUGCAGUCGAUACUGCUGUGGCUAGAGUCUGGUAGAGGAGAGUGGAAUUCCCGGUGUAGCGGUGAAAUGCGCAGAUAUCGGGAGGAACACCAGUAGCGAAGGCGGCUCUCUGGGCCAGUACUGACGCUGAGGAGCGAAAGCGUGGGGAGCAAAC
rnacentral:rRNA from 1 species